UCAGAAGCUGUGUCAGAGAAGCAACACUGGACAGACACCUGAGUGCCAUGCAAGAGGAAACUUAAGGACAAAGGCAGCUCCAGGGAAACUACUGCUUCUAGAACUGGAAUUGGGACAUGCUAAAUGGAAGGAAUUAAUCAAGAUUUGUGGAUUGGAUGGUGGGUCACUUGCCUCCUCAUGUCUGAAAGGGAACAAGGAGCUGAAAGUGAGCAUCUUCAGAAUUACUUGGUGUCAAGCUUAUAAAAAGAGCACCAGGAUAUUUUUAUGUCUUGGCAGCCUCUGUUUGCUUUCUUCUCAUGUGACUUCUGGGAAUGUGACAACCAUCUUUUGAGAACAGCAGUAGCCAGAUGAAGUGGACAAGCCAGCAUACUGAGAAUAACAAAACAGCAAUAUAAAAACAAGGCUUGAACAUGGAGAAGAGGGCCAGAAGGCUAGGACAGAGUUGAAGAAGAACAUUCCAGGGUGUAGCCAGUAUGCCUGUUUGGUGUGGUAAGGAUGUGUGAGUGGAAUCUGACUGAAGUGAUUGCAUUUAAAAUUAGUUCAGAGUCAAUGGACCAGUGAUAACCUGAAGGGGAGGACUGCAUAUCAUGCAGAGAUACUCCACUUCGAUAUGGACGAAUUUUUUCCUGUCCUGAUGAAACACUCUAUUCUCAAUAUGAAUAAUGUGCAAUUAUCCAUAUCUUGGGAAAAUCGUAGAGGAUUGGAUUAUACCUGUGUUCUCCAAAUUGUUCUCCUUGAGGGGUCUUUCCUUUGGCAGCCAUAGCACAGAGUAAGCGUGUCCCAUCAUCCACGCUUUCCCUCCAGGCCCACAACCCAGCCUCCUGGCGGAGGAAGAUUACAGAGAAUAGUUCCAUUUGCACUGUUUUGCCAUGUCUUAAUUAUCUCGUGGAACCAUUGGUGUGUGGUAUGUGGUAUGUGGCAUUCCCCCCGCCC